AAAGUCGUAACAAGGUUUCCGUAGGUGAACCUGCGGAAGGAUCAUUAUCGAAGCGCUGAGGGGUUUGUUGCUGGCUCUCCGGAGUAUGUGCACGCCUCUCACACUUUAUUCAACCACCUGUGCACCUCCUGUAGUCUCUCGGACAAUUUUCAAUCUUCGGAUUGGUGGGGAUUGCUGCUUUUCGAAAGAAUGGCUUCAGUCCAAUGUUCGAGAGUUCUAUGUUUACAUAUACACUAUUAAAAUUACCAGAAUGAAUCAUGGUCUUUUACAGACUUUAAAACUAAAAUACAACUUUCAACAACGGAUCUCUUGGCUCUC
rnacentral:misc_RNA from 1 species